UAUUUAUUAAUUCCCGGUCCCUUCCCACAAUCAAGCAGGCAGUUACAAGAUUGAAGCCGUUUGGGUGCAUAGUGAGACAGUCGCAUACAGAGAUACUGUCACAGGAAGAGGAAAACAAUAGAAAACAAGAAGAACAAACUUAAAAAUAUAUAUCAUAUCAUUUCAUAUAAGAACAAUGCACAUCACAGGUAAUCCUCCGGAAAAAAAGCCAUGAUUGCAACAUCAACUAUACAGGCAAUACAAAGACAAUACUAAGAGAGAGAGAGAGAGAGAGAGAGAGAGAGAGAGAGAGAAAGAGAGAGAGAGAGAGAGAGAAGAGAAAG